UACGGGGGGGGCAAGCGUUGUUCGGAAUUACUGGGCGUAAAGGGCUCGUAGGCGGCCAACUAAGUCAGACGUGAAAUCCCUCAGCUUAACUGGGGAACUGCGUCUGAUACUGGAUGGCUCGGAUUCGGGAGAGGAAUGCGGAAUUCCAGGUGUAGCGGUGAAAUGCGUAGAUAUCUGGAGGAACACCGGUGGCGAAGGCGGCAUUCUGGACCGACACUGACGCUCAUGCACGAAAGCGUGGGGAGCAAACAGG
rnacentral:rRNA from 1 species